rnacentral:rRNA from 1 species
GACGAACGCUGGCGGCGUGCUUAACACAUGCAAGUCGAACGGAAAGGCCCUGCUUUUGUGGGGUGCACGAGUGGCGAACGGGUGAGUAACACGUGAGUAACCUGCCCUUGACUUUGGGAUAACUUCAGGAAACUGGGGCUAAUACCGGAUAGGAGCUCCUGCUGCAUGGUGGGGGUUGGAAAGUUUCGGCGGUUGGGGAUGGACUCGCGGCUUAUCAGCUUGUUGGUGGGGUAGUGGCUUACCAAGGCUUUGACGGGUAGCCGGCCUGAGGGGGUGACCGGCCACAUUGGGACUGAGAUACGGCCCAGACUCCUACGGGAGGCAGCAGUGGGGAAUAUUGCACAAUGGGCGGAAGCCUGAUGCAGCAACGCCGCGUGCGGGAUGACGGCCUUCGGGUUGUAAACCGCUUUCGCCUGUGACGAAGCGUGAGUGACGGUAAUGGGUAAAGAAGCACCGGCUAACUACGUG